AAACCCCUAAAGCUCUUGGUACCAACCUGCAUGGGAAAUCGUGCGGGGGCCCACUCCGGGGAGGUUAUAAUCCAAGAGAUGCAACAAUGGGCAAUCAGCAGCGUAGACCCUGUCGGUUGGGACUUGCGUCCCGGCCCAUGGGUAACGUUCAGAGACUAAGUGGUGAUGGGCCCCGAUGCCACCCGGCCUCGGGGCUUAAGAUAUAGUCCGGCCCCGGCGAAAGCCGAUGUCGAGAUGAGGGGGUGCGACCCCAGAGCUCGGCAGUAGGGAUCAGAGUUCCUGCUCUAAUGUGGGAGCGUGCGGCUUAAUUUGACUCAACACGGGAAAACUUACCAGGUCCAGACAUAGGAAGGAUUGACAGAUUGAUAGCUCUUUCUUGAUUCUGUGGGUGGUGGUGCAUGGCCGUUCUUAGUUGGUGGGUUGCCUUGUCAGGUUGAUUCCGGUAACGAACGAGACCUCA
rnacentral:rRNA from 1 species